rnacentral:rRNA from 1 species
ACACUCCUGCGGGAGGCAGCAGUGGGGAAUAUUGCACAAUGGGCGCAAGCCUGAUGCAGCCAUGCCGCGUGUAUGAAGAAGGCCUUCGGGUUGUAAAGUACCUUCAGCGGGGAGGAAGGCGAUAAGGUUAAUAACCUUGUUGAUUGACGUUACCCGCAGAAGAAGCACCGGCUAACUCCGUGCCAGCAGCCGCGGUAAUACGGAGGGUGCAAGCGUUAAUCGGAAUUACUGGGCGUAAAGCGCACGCAGGCGGUCUGUCAAGUCGGAUGUGAAAUCCCCGGGCUCAACCUGGGAACUGCAUUCGAAACUGGCAGGCUAGAGUCUUGUAGAGGGGGGUAGAAUUCCAGGUGUAGCGGUGAAAUGCGUAGAGAUCUGGAGGAAUACCGGUGGCGAAGGCGGCCCCCUGGACAAAGACUGACGCUCAGGUGCGAAAGCGUGGGGAGCAAACAGGAUUAGAUACCCUUGUAGUCCCA